rnacentral:piRNA from 1 species
UCACACGUAGGAAAGGCUGGCACUCUGG